rnacentral:rRNA from 1 species
UAUGGCUCAGGACGAACGCUGGCGGCGUGCUUAACACAUGCAAGUCGAACGAGAAUCUGUGGAUAGAGGUCUCGGCCAAUUGAAGCAGAGGAAAGUGGCGGACGGGUGAGUAACGCGUGAGGAACCUGCCUUUCAGAGGGGGACAACAGUUGGAAACGACUGCUAAUACCGCAUGACGCAUAGAGGUCGCAUGGCCUUUAUGCCAAAGAUUUAUCGCUGAAAGAUGGCCUCGCGUCUGAUUAGCUAGUUGGUGAGGUAACGGCCCACCAAGGCGACGAUCAGUAGCCGGACUGAGAGGUUGAACGGCCACAUUGGGACUGAGAUACGGCCCAGACUCCUACGGGAGGCAGCAGGUGGGGAAUAUUGGGCAAUGGGCGCAAACGCCUGACCCAGCAACGCCGCGUGAAGGAAGAAGGCUUUCGGGUUGUAAACUUCUUUUGUCGGGGACGAGUAGAAGACGGUACCUGACGAAUAAGCCACGGCUAACUACGUGCCAGCCGCUGC